GAAAAAGUAUGGGAUUUCAAGGAAUCAAGCAAUCAAAGGUGGUGAGCCCUCUAACAAGGGUAAAGAGAUUGUGUCUGAAAAUUGGGAAUAGAAGUAUAUUGAACUCCUAGUACUGCUCAGACUAGGCUGUAGAUAGCUGGCUCCAUCGGGGAUUUCCAUUGGAUUGCGUCUUCUUAACUGUUCCAACGAGGCCUCACAUGUCCGUUCGAAGCAACAAUCGAAGUUAAAAUCGAUUAAAGAAUCAACAAGACCAAUUUGGAAGCAGUUGGGGCAUAGAUUGAGUCGAACACAUAUGCUCGCCUUCUUGGUAGGUACUAUGGUAUCUCAGUAGCUGUACCUUCACCCACAGUCACUCCCCUGAUGGUUAAAAGUCUUAUAUUUGUAUAUACACAUAAGUAAUGUAGACCACUAAGAUUCAUGUAUAUUAAAAAUCAAAUAUUUAUAUUUGAUUACUAAUGCCAUUAUGGGCUGGCAAACGAGUAUCAUUAUUUUAACAUAAUACGAAUGUGAAUAUUGAGUUGCUAUAAAAUGUUACCAAAAUGAUUAUAGUA